rnacentral:tRNA from 1 species
CGGGGGAUAGCUCAGUUUGGUUUAGAGUGCAGCGUUCGGGACGCUGAGGUCGUGGGUUCAAGUCCCACUCCCCCGACCA